rnacentral:rRNA from 1 species
CGAAACCUGCCCAGCAGAACGACCCGCGAACACGUGAUGCCCCGGUUACGCCGGACGGGGAUCGUCUCCCCGCCCGGACAAAACGAACCCCCGGCGCGAUCCGCGCCAAGGAAAACGAAAAAAAACGGAUCGAGCGCCCGCGCUCCCCGAAAUCUUAA